GCGCUUUUGGAGCGGCCGAUGUCUGAUUAGCUAGUUGGUGAGGUAAAGGCUUACCAAGGCUUCGAUCAGUAGCUGGUCUGAGAGGACGACCAGCCACACUGGGACUGAGACACGGCCCAGACUCCUACGGGAGGCAGCAGUGGGGAAUUUUGGACAAUGGGGGAAACCCUGAUCCAGCCAUGCCGCGUGAGUGAAGAAGGCCUUCGGGUUGUAAAGCUCUUUCAGCCGGAACGAAACGGUCACGGCUAAUAUCCGUGACAACUGACGGUACCGGAAGAAGAAGCACCGGCUAACUACGUGCCAGCAGCCGCGGUAAUACGUAGGGUGCAAGCGUUAAUCGGAAUUACUGGGCGUAAAGCGUGCGCAGGCGGUUUUGUAAGUCAGAUGUGAAAUCC
rnacentral:rRNA from 1 species